rnacentral:lncRNA from 13 species
CUGCUCCGUGCUGCCAGCAAAGUCUUCAUUGAACUCGAGGCCUCUCUGCUUGGCCACAGCUAAAAUUCGGCUCUCCACUCAGUGAUGGCAAAAGUCACCAAUGGGUAAACUGUUGCUGAAAUUCACAAAGGAAUCGUUUUGAAAUUUUGAACUCAAAGGUCGGUAAAGAAUCAAUCUCUAACAUAAAAAUGUGUUUGGUAUGUGUGUGGGGGUGUGUAAGUGUAUGGUGCGUUUGUGUGGUAUUUGUGUGUGGUGUGUGUGUGGUGUGCAGGGUAUAUAUGUAUGUGAUGUGUGUGGUGUGUGUGUGGUUGGGUUGUGUGUUUGGUGUUUGGUAUGUGUAUGGUAUCUGUGGGUGGUGUGUGUGUGCAUGUGGUUGUGUUGUGUGGUAUCUGUGCGUGUGAUGCAUGCGGUGUAUGUGGGGGACUGUGUGUGGUGUGUGCUCUGUAUGUGUGUGUGUGGUGUCUGGGGGAUGCGUGUGGGGGUGUAGUGUGGGAUGGGGUGUGUGUUUGUGGUUGUGUUGUGUGGUUGGUGCAUGUGGUAUAUGUUUGUGUGAUGUGUGUGGUGUUUGUAGUGCCUGUGGUAUGUGUGAUGAGUGUGGUGUAUGUGUGGUUGUGGUGUGUGUGCUCUGUGUGUGCGUGUGGUGUGUGCAGUAUGUGGGAUGUGGUGUGUGUAUGUGUUGUGUGUAGUAUGUGUGAUGUGUGUGAUGUGUGUGGCGUAUGUGAGGUUGUGUUGUGUGUGGCGUGUAUGGUGUAUGUGUGUGUGGUGUGUGGUGUAUAUAUGGUGUGUGGCUUGUAUAUGGUAUAUGCGUAUGUGGUAUGUAUGUGUGUGGAGAGGUGUGUGUGUGUGUGGUGUUUGUGUGGUGUGUGUGGUAGUAUGUGUGUGUGAUGUGUGUGGUGUGUGUGUGUGUGUGUGUGUGUGUGUUAAUCACUUACUAUCUUCAUUUUCUCUGGACAACUUUGGGGAACAAAAGAUCUGUAGCCUUUAAUGCAUUUAUUCAACAAAUCAUUUCCUGCCUACCACGUGGCUCCACACUAUUCCCAGGGGCUGGUGCUCCUCAUAGAGGUGACACCUGCUCCAGGCCUUCUAGUCCCAGGCCCUCUUCCCAGGGCACCAUGGGAAUGUGUCGAUCCUCAUGGCAAUCCUGUGAGAAGAUACACGUAUCCCCUGUUUCACCAGCGAGGAAGCCAAGGCACAGGUCAAAGAACUUGUCGGCCAGCACACAGCUGGAAAGUAGCAGUCGAGAUGUGACCAAGGUAUCCUGGUGCCAGAACCAUGCUCCUAACGCUCCGCCAGCUGACUCAGCUGCACCUGCUGGGAUCUCUGACCAGAUGAACGGGGCUCUGAGUGCUCAGCCACGGGGGUCUCAUCUGUGCUGGAGAAACGGGACCCAGAACCACAGCAGACAGAUGACCGCUGCUGGAAGGAAGCUCCCAGGCCACAAGACAAUCCCUUCGCUCAGGGCAGGGCAGCUGAGCUCACUUCCCCAAGGCCACCCAGGAGAAACCAGCAGAGCCGGGGCAGAGGUCAGCCUUCAGCUACUAUGAAUAAUUUCGUUUAAAAUACCAAGUGGUCUUCAAAAUCUACACCCUUUCUAAGUCAGCAAAAAUCAGGUGAGAUUCACAAGUGGUGUCUGGAGCUGCUUUCUCCACAUUCCGUGAGGAUUUCUGACCCUUGCAAGGCUUCCUUCCAGGGAGACAAGAGUGAGUUAAGUAUCUUCUCUGCUUUUAGGGAACUCAUCAUCUGGACAGGUUGAAUGAUGGGAUAAGAUUUAAGAGAAACUGACUAAAAUGCAAUCUUAAUUCCAAAAAGCUCAUGAACAGUAAUAGGAUGAAGAAGACAAGAUUAAUAACAACAGACGUAGGAAGGCGUGUGCGCUGCGUUCCCCGGAAACGGGUCAACCUGCAGCCUCACGGAGCACGCGCCUGGCUCUGUUUGUCUUUCUUGGAACAAGGUCCACAGACGAGGACAGCUGUGUCCUCCUUCCCCCGGUCCCAUGAGAGGACGUCUCCUGUUUUUAGUCUCACAGACCACUUUUUAAGCCAUCCAUAAAAGGAGCUAGGGAAGUAUGUCUGGGAUCGAUAAGGGACUGAAGUCCGUGUUUACAGAGGAUUUUUCCCACCUAAGGAAGAGUUAUGAGGGGCUCUGCUGCUCUCUUCCUGUAGCUGGGGAAGCACUGAGGGCGGAGGGCGUGACCUGUGUGGGCCUGAGGGUCAGAACCUGAGCUGGCAUGGAGACAGGUAGGUCGUUCUGUUUUGUUUUGUUUUGUUUUUGAGACUGAGUCUUGCUCUGUCUCCCAGGCUGGAGCGUAAUGCUGGGACCUCAGCUCACUGCAACCUCCACCUCCCAGGUUCAAGUGAGUCUCCUGCCUCAGUUUCCCGAGUAGCUGGGAUUACAAGCAACCGCCACCACGCCCCACUAGUUUACAUGUUUUUAGUAGAGAUGGCGUUUCACCAUGUUGGCAAGGCUGGUCUCGGACUCCUGUCCUCAGGUAAUCAACCCACCUUGGCCUCCCAAAGUGCUGGGGUUACAGGUAUGAGCCCCUGC